AUUUAUUAAUUAUUCAAUUCUACAACAAUUUACUCAAACCAAUUUCAAUUUUUACAAAAUGUAUUUAUUAUUAUUACUUUAAUCGCAUAUAUUUAUUAUUUAAAAUUUUAGAAAUCUCCUAUAUAGUUACUAAUAUAAUAUUCAAAUCAUCAGAAAUUUAGGAACUUACACAAUCUUUUUGGAACUAAAGUAUAUGCGAUCAUUUGCAUUUAUAACAAAAAAAAAAAAAGCAUCAAUCUAUAUAUAAUUCGAAUAUUGUACAGCUAACCCUAAAUAAAUGAAUCAUUUUCCCCACUAUAAAUAAUGGCCGCAUUCAUUUUUAUCAUUUAGCCAUCACGAUUGCAUAUUUGUUUAUGUUAGAGUCAUUGGGUCACGAUUGCAUAUUUGUCUUCCUUAUCGCAUUACUAACUUUUUAGUAGUAUUAAGAAAUUACUUUCGUUUUUUAUAUUACUUUACCUAAUUCUCUAUGUUCUUAGAAGAGUUUUCAAAUUCAUGUUUGUUUAUGGUUUCUUUCUGUUUACGAAUCGAUGUGGGUGUGUGAGUUUCUGUUGAAGAGCUUCACUAUGAUGAUUGAUGUGUUAGUGUUGAUGCUCGUGGUGGGGAUUGAAUUGGAUCUUAGACGUUGAUGAUUAAAUACUUUUUCUCCAUCUCACUAUGAUUGAGACCAUUUUUUUAUGUGUGUUUCUUAAGCUUUAUUCUCCCAUGCAUUUUAUUGAGUUGCUUGAUUAUGGUCUUGCUCUGUAUUUUUUGGACGAUGUGGUUUUGUGAUUUAUUGUCUUUUUGGCAUUUGUCUGAAGGUUUAUUUUAUCUUUUGAUUGAAAAACUAUGAUCAAAACAAAAGCAAUGAGUUUGAAGCCGGUAAAAAGUCGAAGAAGAAUGUUUUUUUUUAAUCGAAGAAGAAUGUUGUGAUGAGAUCAUUAAGUUUGAAGGACAAUGGGCAUCCAAAGGGAGAGGAAGCAUGGAACUCAAAAAUUCAAUGAGUUGAAGGAGAGCCAUCAUGAUCGUAAAGGUCAAAAUUUAUUGUAUAUGUGAGAUGUAAUAUGCUAAUAGACAUUCCAUAUUGUCUUUUACUAUUUUCUUUGAAGGUAUUUCUAAUUUUAAUUUUGGUUGAAACUUAUCAAUUCAAAAUAUUUAACUUUUAAAUGUACGCUUAAUAUUUUGUUUACAGAAUAUGCAAUAUACAUUCAAUCCAAUAUUUUGUU
rnacentral:lncRNA from 1 species